rnacentral:tRNA from 1 species
GGAAGCGUGGGAGAGUGGUUUAAUCCAGCGGUCUUGAAAACCGCCGGGGUGGCGACACCCCCGUGAGUUCGAAUCUCACCGCUUCCGCCA